CAUAUUUUAUAAAUUAGAGUGGAAGCUUAACCCCGAAGAACUUAAAAUUAUUUAUUAGCUAAAUGGUUACUAGUGAUAGUUGUUGCUGGCACAUAAUUAAAAUGAUUUUUAAUGCAGAAAUCCAUGGUUUGAUUCAUGAAUCUUGAUGGGGGGUUUUUGGUUUAAUAUUCAAACUCAAAUUGAUGUUGAACUUGUUGCAAGCCUGGAUAUAUACCAGAUAUUCAUGCCACCUGUAAAGAAAAAAUAAUAAGGUUUCAAUAUUCAUCAAAGACGCAGUCCAACAAAAAACGAGUUCAAUCUCAUUCCCAUCUAAUAAGAAGAUACAAAAGAUGAUGCUACUAAUGAUUCUUGUCAUUCUUCUUCCCGUAUUUCUUCUUCAAAAGUACCAAAAAAAGAGAAGCCCAGCAAAGGAAAGCUCCCAUGGUGUAUCUCAUCAAGUGAAACAUCAAGUUUUCUUGAGCUUCAGAGGUGAAGACACACGCCUUAACUUCACCAGCCAUCUACUCAAAGCUUUGAAAGAUACGGGAAUUAAUGUAUUCUUCGAUGAAGAAACUUUGGAAAGAGGGAAGCAACUUUCACAAGCACUUUCUCGAGCUAUUGCAGCCUCAAACAUCUCAAUAAAUAUAUUAUCAUUAGAUUAUGCUUCUUCAAAAUCGUGCCUGGCUGAACUCUCUGACAUCAUGGACUACAAGCGCACUCAAGGACAUACUGUUCUUCCCAUUUUUUAUCAUGUUGAUCCUUCCCAUGUUCGGAAUCUUGGUGGAAGUUUCAAAACUUCCUUUGAUGAUCAUGAAUCAAAAAGGCUACGUCAGGUACAACGAUGGAAAGCUGCCUUUGUUGAAGUGGGAAAAUUAAAAGGGAGGCAUAUAGAAGGAGGCAAAUUUGACAGACCUGAAACAGAGUACAUCAAGGAUAUUAUUGAAUAUGUUAUAAAAAUGUUGAUGAGUAGCAAAUCUAGACAUGUUUAUGAAGAACUGGUCGGAAUAGGAUAUCAGAAAGAUGCAAUUUCGAGGCUGAUUGAGCAAAAAGGCAGCCGUGUAAUAGGACUCUGGGGAAUGGGUGGUAUAGGCAAAACAACCCUUGCUGAUGCUGUAUAUAAGGAAAUGUCUCCAAAGUUUGAAAGCUGCUGGUUUCUUCAAAAUGUUAGUGAGAAAAUAAAAAAACAAGGAAAGGAAUCUUUACGAAAUGAUCUUCUCUCCAAACUGUUAAAUGAAAAAGAUAUUCGUAUAGAUACUCCUUUGAUAGGAUACCCUUACCAAGGGAGGCUGAACAAUAAAAAAGUACUUCUUGUGCUUGAUGAUGUUAGUCACCAAGACCAAAUAACUAUUAUGGGUGUUAGACAUUUUGGUGAUGGAAGUAAAAUCAUUGUAACAUCUAGAGAUAGAAAAGUACUUGAGAAUGGAGAAGCUGACCAAAUUUAUGAGGUAAAGAAUUUAAAUGAGUUUGACUCUCUUCAACUAUUUUCCACUUGUGCAUUUAAGCAGUCGACUCCUGAUGCUGCUUUUCGAGACCUAUCGAUAAAGUUUGUUGAGUACACCCAAUACAAUCCACUUGCUCUAAAAGUUUUGGGUUCCCAACUAUAUAAAAGGUCUAGAGAAUAUUGGAAAAGCGAGAUGGAUAAGCUAAAGGAAUAUGGCCAACCAGAAAUUUCAAAUAUUUUGAAGAGAAGCUUUGAUGAGCUUGAUGAACAAGAAAAGAAUAUAUUCCUUGAUAUUGCAAUCUUCUUCCAAGGGGAACCCGAGGAAAAUGUAGAAAAAAUUCUAAGUAGUUGUUAUAAUGGCGCAAAGUCUAGCAUUAGAAACUUGAUCGACAAGUGUCUACUAGAUAUCACACCUCUUCCUAUUUCUUUGCGUGAUAUGCUUGAAAUUCGCAGUAAGUUUCACAAGAGAAAAGAAGAAGAGAUUGCAAGUUCCCCUUAUAGAGGUGCAUUAGAUGAUCGAAGAAGUAGUUUCUUGGAUGAGAUUCCGAAUUGUAUUUCUAUGCAUGAUAUGUUUGAGCUGAUGGGCAAGGACAUUGUUCGCCAAGAAUCUAGAGUUCCUGGAAUGCGCAGUAGGUUAUGGAAUCCUAAUGAAGUAAAGCAAGUGCUCAGAUAUAAUAAAGGUAUGAAGAUGGAAGUGAUUGGUGUAAGCAAAUCAUAUGAGAAAAACAGAGACCCAAGAGAGAAUUAAUGGCAGAUCUUUGGAGAGGCCAUUAUACUUUGAGCUUUAGCUAUACAAAAGAUCAGAGGAACAUAUUCGCCUUGUUUCUGGACCUACAGAGGAACCCUAUGCUCUUGAGAAUUUAGCCUUCCUAGACAGAAAUUGAUGGUCUGAUUCAUGAUUCUUGAUGAAGAAGAAGACAAGAAUUAUGAGGAGGCAUCAUUCAAAUUCUGCAUCAGAAAUUUCUAUAUCUAUCAUGAAGAAAAUAGCAUGAAGAAUAUAUUAAGGUGGAGAGCUGUGGUGUUCAUGUAUUUUACGUGGAUGCAAAGAGCGAUAGAGAUGUUAGUGAAUAGAGACUUGCUGAGAACAAAAGAAGCUUUAGCCAUGAUGGUGAAGAAGGGGAUGGAGGUCUUAAAAGAUUGAAAUAGUUUGUAUUUCUUUCCAUCCUUGUCUCUGCAUUUGAAGAGUUUCAACUUCUCAAUUAUGUCAUUCAAAUGCAUAGGUAAAGGUUUCAUUUUCAUCUCAUUUUUUCAUAUUACCACUUUUUCAUUUUCAACUUAUAAAUUAGUGACAGAAAAUGAAGUGCUUUAAUUAAAUAAAACCAACCAGGAUGAAUCUAAACUUCCUCUGCUUUAUAAAUUACUUGUCUUCUAGAAGGCUCUUUACCAUACUGAAACCUUGUAGUUCCACAUUGUAAAUGUUAAAAGCAUAAUUUAUGAACAUAAAAUUGGAAAUUUGUUCAA